UGAGGGAAAGAUGAAAAGCACUUUGGAAAGAGAGUGAAACAGUACGUGAAAUUGUUGAAAGGGAAACGCUUGAAGUCAGUCGCGUCGACCGAGACUCAGCCUCGCCUCGGCUUGGUGUACUUCUCGGCUGACGGGUCAGCAUCAAUUUCGCCUCUUGGAUAAUGGCGAGGGAAAUGUGACACCUUUACGGUGUGUUAUAGUCUCUCGUCGCAUGCAAGGGUCGGGAUUGAGGAACUCAGCACGCGCCUUUGGGUGUCGGGGCUUUGCCCACGAUACGUGCUUAGGAUGUUGGCGUAAUGGCUUUAAACGACCCGUCUUGAAACACGGACCAAGGAGUCUAACAUGCCUGCGAGUGUUCGGGUGGAAAACCCGUGCGCGCAAUGAAAGUGAAAGUUGGGACCUCUGUCGUGGAGGGCACCGACGCCCGGACCAGACCUUCUGUGACGGCUCUGCGGUAAAGCAUGCAUGUUAGGACCCGAAAGAUGGUGAACUAUGCCUGAAUAGGGUGAAGCCAGAGGAAACUCUGGUGGAGGCUCGUAGCGAUUCUGACGUGCAAAUCGAUCGUCAAAUUUGGGUAUAGGGGCGAAAGA
rnacentral:rRNA from 1 species